rnacentral:rRNA from 1 species
GUGCUUGCACUCUGCUGACGACCGGCGCACGGGUGCGUAACGCGUAUGCAAUCUACCUCUUACUGAGGGAUAGCCCAUGGAAACGUGGAUUAAUACCUCAUAGUAUUAUAAACUGGCCUCAGUUUAUGAUUAAAGGUUACGGUAAGAGAUGAGCAUGCGUCCUAUUAGCUAGAUGGUAAGGUAACGGCUUACCAUGGCUACGAUAGGUAGGGGUCCUGAGAGGGAGAUCCCCCACACUGGUACUGAGACACGGACCAGACUCCUACGGGAGGCAGCAGUGAGGAAUAUUGGACAAUGGGCGAGAGCCUGAUCCAGCCAUGCCGCGUGCAGGAAGACGGCCCUAUGGGUUGUAAACUGCUUUUACAGAGGAAGAACCCUCCUUACGUGUAAGGAGCUGACGGUACUCUAUGAAUAAGGAUCGGCUAACUCCGUGCCAGCAGCCGCGGUAAUACGGAGGAUCCAAGCGUUAUCCGGAAUCAUUGGGUUUAAAGGGUCCGUAGGCGGGUCUAUAAGUCAGUGGUGAAAGUCUGCAGCUUAACUGUAGAACUGCCAUUGAUACUGUAGACCUUGAAUUAGUAUGAAGUGGUUAGAAUGUGUAGUGUAGCGGUGAAAUGCAUAGAUAUUACACAGAAUACCGAUUGCGAAGGCAGAUCACUAAUACUAUAUUGACGCUGAUGGACGAAAGCGUAGUAGCGAACAGGAUUAGAUACCCUGGUAGUCUACGCCGUAAACGAUGGUUACUAGCUGUCCGGCCUAAUUGAGGGCUGGGUGGUUAAGCGAAAGUGAUAAGUAACCCACCUGGGGAGUACGUUCGCAAGA